rnacentral:snRNA from 1 species
GUGCUCACUUUGGCAGCAUGUACAUGACAGUUGGAAUGAUAUCCAGAUUUCCAUGGCCCCUCUGCAAGGAUGAUGUGCAUAUUCACCAGAUGGUCCAUAUUCCU